CUCAGCGAGUUUAAUACAAAUAAUUGCAACAAUCACACAACUGAAACAGAGCAAAACUCAACACAAUGGGUAACUUUCAUCCUCAUUUUUGGUCUGCUGAAUGGUGUCCUGUUUGUUACAGGAUUAUUAAAUGUUUGUGCUAUUGAAAAUGGAUGUUGGGUCAAAUCUGGAAAUAGAUUAGGACAAUUUUAUCAAACUGAUCGACAGCAGAUACAGAUUGUAAAACAGCCACAAGAUCAAUUACAGUAUGUGACGGUGGUUUACCAAGCGGUGUAAAAAUUCAACUCCGCCAACACAACAGCAGCUAUGCUAAGCUGUCAAAAACACCAACACAAAAUAAGACUGACAUCUUAUUUUAAUGUUUCUUUCACUGAUUCUCUGGACUUUGAUGAAAAGCAACGACUCAACAAGACAUUAAGACAUUAAACCGAAUAAAUUACAUUUUUAUAGAUUAUAUAUGUUUUGGUCAAUUUUUGUUUAUCAUUUCUGACUUUUUAUUUUAUAUCAAUGCCUGAAUGUAAAAGGAAA